ensembl:lncRNA
CAACUUUGGGACAUAUGCCUUAGAUCAGAGCCACUCAGCGAGAGGCCUGUGACCUGGGGGCCACCUGGGGGACUGCUUGUUACACAUCUGAGGAGAGGGCACAGAUCCACAUCCUAUCCGGUUACUCAUCCAGCCCAGUGCCCAGGACUUCGAGGGGCGUGCCGUCUUUCCCGUCAGGCUCCCCAUGCUCUGGCAGCCUAUACACUGAGAGAUCAGCUCUCGGAGGGGCGUCUGCAGACGGCACGCUGCCCAAAGCUGUCUCACAGGGUGGAGGCCCAGAGCAGAGCCCGGGUUGUGCUGACACAGGUUUUAGAAGCUUCCGGCCAUAUCCCCAUCACUGAGGACCAGGAGCCCUGGGGCACGGCUGCUGGUGGGCAGGGCGAGGGGUGCUGGGGGCCUCCCUGACCACUUGUCCUGUUCCAGCUCAGGGCAGGGUGGCUCACCAAGGGGUUAGAGCGCAUAGGGCUGCAGGGCUGUGGGCCUGGCUGGAUGUCGGGGGUCAGGGCUGACCCCGCUCACGCUGGCCUCGUGACUGUGGUCAGGGGCUGCUGUCCAAAUUAGGCACCUCCCAGGUCUUUCCUAAUUUUAGCAGGAUGCCUUUCAUCAUCUGGGAAUUCUCUCAAUACUGUGAAUCAGGCAGCUCCCUCCAGGACAGCCAGGCAGAGGUGGCCCACUGAGGCUCCCUGGCUCUGAGGCCAUGAAGUUGGGGUGCAAUGAGUAGAUGGGCCUCCAGCCUGCAGAACAUCCCCUAACCAGGACCAGGGAGCAUCCAGCUUACUCCCAGACCUUCCAGAGCUGCAGGUCCUUCUUGAAACUCUGUAACACAGAGAAACAUGGAGCUGCUGGGUAGACUCAAAGCCCCACCUGCCAUGGGCCUUGACUCAUGGGCCUUGACUGUUGCCUGCAGGGGCAGAUGAGGCUCUGAGCCUGAAACCAGGUCCACUCUUCCACCCUCAGGCACAGAGACCCGUGUUCGAAUCCUGGGGGGAGGGAGAGGGUGUCCUCAAAGCACAGCUUGAAUCCAGAGACUUAAUUCAAUUCCUUCCUUCUGCAAAUGGGAAAUUGAGACUGGAGGUCCCACAGCUUGUCAGAGGGUGAACCAGGAUGAGGACCAGUGGCUCCUACCACCUGACCCAGGUUUCUGCGUGGCACAGCCAGCCCCUUCUCUCUCCUGCAGUGACUGUGAGCUCUGGGUAGGGGAGAUUGGGAGAUUUCUCACCUGCUUCCUCAGCACCUGCUGUCUCGGGGGCUUGUGCAGGCUUGUUGAGUGAAGUGGAGCUAACUACGUGGCUGUGGAAUUGUGGACAUGUUGGGGAGGGAGCUGUCUGAGGCUCUGAGGCCCGGAGAGGCUGGUCCCCACGUCUCAGCUCAGAGUGGGACACCACAGCCACCAAGAGAAAGAUGGUGUUCACAUGCAGGACUCCAGUGAAUAAACGGAGGAUCUGCUCAGCCACCGUGCUCCUGAGCUGACUGUGCGUGGAUCUCUGCGGGCAGCCAGGACGCAUCUGCCCCCGAGGAUGGCCAGUGCCUGCUGGCCUGGCGGGGAAGCGGGCUAGAGGCCCGGCCAUUCGUUCUCCUAGAGGGCAUCUCACAGUCCUCCCGCAUCUCACAGUCCAUGUGUCCCCACGCACCAAGAAAGGCUAAGAAACUACACGUCAAAAUGGUCACAGCAGAUACUUGGCAAUGCCUGGGGGUGGUUACCUGGCGAGAGAUUUGACUGGGUGCAGAGCUUCUCUCCCCAGAUCUUUUAUGUGGGUGCCUUGUGCAAAUUCAACUUUAGUGAUAAAGGUUUGGGGUUAAGCACUGUCUGCCUCCUGAGGGUGUGGGAUGGGUGUUGCAGUGCUCCUGGGGUUGAAAUGAAGGGAAAGGGCAGAAUGAAGUGCUCGGAGGCCAGAGG